rnacentral:lncRNA from 1 species
UUUGUUCAUUAAUGUUUCUUCCUGAGUACACAGGUAUUGCCAGGUGCACAGAAAAGUCCAAAUGCCAUCACAAUGAACAGGGUGUUAAUGAUAGAGCUCCUGGUGAACCUUGGCGGAUUCCGUGGCAGAAAGGUCCAUGACUGGGAAUUCGAGGAGCAGCCAGACUAAGAAACCCAGCCCAUUACUGAAUUAUAACGAGUGGAAAAGAAAUACUAAGAAGACAGUGGGUAACUCUAGCACCAGAGGACGCUCAGCAAAAGGCUGAGCAAGUGUCACUGUGGCCUGUGCUUUCCUGGCAUCUUGUUUUGAGGAUACAGACAUUUUACUUGUUUUUUUUUUUUUGUUUUUUUUUUUUUGAAAAACAGAAUUUAUAAUGUAUGAAGAAAUGAUUGUUCAAAAACCAAAAAUGACUGGACUACAC